GAGUUUGAUCCUGGCUCAGAUUGAACGCUGGCGGCAGGCCUAACACAUGCAAGUCGAGCGGUAGAGAGAAGCUUGCUUCUCUUGAGAGCGGCGGACGGGUGAGUAAUGCCUAGGAAUCUGCCUGGUAGUGGGGGAUAACGCUCGGAAACGGACGCUAAUACCGCAUACGUCCUACGGGAGAAAGCAGGGGACCUUCGGGCCUUGCGCUAUCAGAUGAGCCUAGGUCGGAUUAGCUAGUUGGUGAGGUAAUGGCUCACCAAGGCGACGAUCCGUAACUGGUCUGAGAGGAUGAUCAGUCACACUGGAACUGAGACACGGUCCAGACUCCUACGGGAGGCAGCAGUGGGGAAUAUUGGACAAUGGCGAAAGCCUGAUCCAGCCAUG
rnacentral:rRNA from 1 species